AUUGAACGCUGGCGGCAUGCCUUACACAUGCAAGUCGAACGGCAGCACGGGAGCAAUCCUGGUGGCGAGUGGCGAACGGGUGAGUAAUAUAUCGGAACGUGCCCAGUCGUGGGGGAUAACGCAGCGAAAGCUGUGCUAAUACCGCAUACGAUCUAUGGAUGAAAGCGGGGGAUCGCAAGACCUCGCGCGAUUGGAGCGGCCGAUAUCAGAUUAGCUAGUUGGUGGGGUAAAGGCCCAACAAGGCGACGAUCUGUAGCUGGUCUGAGAGGACGACCAGCCACACUGGAAGUGAGACACGGUCCAGACUCCUACGGGAGGCAGCAGUGGGGAAUUUUGGACAAUGGGCGCAAGCCUGAUCCAGCAAUGCCACGUGCAGGAUGAAGGCCUUCGGGUUGUAAACUGCUUUUGUACGGAGCGAAACGGUCUGCCCUAAUACGGUGGGCUAAUGACGGUACCGUAAGAAUAAGCACCGGCUAACUACGUGCCAGCCGCCGCCGUAA
rnacentral:rRNA from 1 species